rnacentral:rRNA from 1 species
UUGACGGGCCCCGCACAAGCAGCGGAGCGUGUGGUUUAAUUCGAUGUUACACGAAGAACCUUACCAGGGUUUGACAUGCAAGUGGUAGGAAACCGAAAGGUGACCGACCUUCGGGGAGCUUGCACAGGUGCUGCAUGGCUGUCGUCAGCUCGUGUCGUGAGAUGUUCGGUUAAGUCCGCUAACGAGCGCAACCCUCGCCGUGUGUUAUAAGUGUCACGCGGGACCGCCGGUCUUAAGCCGGAGGAAGGUGGGGAUGACGUCAAGUCAGCAUGGCCUUUAUGUCCUGGGCUACACACACGCUACAAUGGCCAGUACAAUUGGUAGCGAAGUCGCGAGGCGGAGCCAAUCCGUAAAAGCUGGCCUCAGUUCAGAUUGCAGGCUGCAACCCGCCUGCAUGAAGAUGGAGUUGCUAGUAACCGCAGGUCAGCAAUACUGCGGUGAAUACGUUCCCGGGUCUU